UACGUAGGUGGCAAGCGUUAUCCGGAUUUAUUGGGCGUAAAGCGAGCGCAGGCGGUUGCUUAGGUCUGAUGUGAAAGCCUUCGGCUUAACCGAAGAAGUGCAUCGGAAACCGGGCGACUUGAGUGCAGAAGAGGACAGUGGAACUCCAUGUGUAGCGGUGGAAUGCGUAGAUAUAUGGAAGAACACCAGUGGCGAAGGCGGCUGUCUGGUCUGCAACUGACGCUGAGGCUCGAAAGCAUGGGUAGCGAACAGGAUUAGAUACCCUGGUAGUCCAUGCCGUAAACGAUGAGUGCUAGGUGUUGGAGGGUUUCCGCCCUUCAGUGCCGGAGCUAACGCAUUAAGCACUCCGCCUGGGGAGUACGACCGCAAGGUUGAA
rnacentral:rRNA from 1 species